rnacentral:rRNA from 1 species
UACAGAGGUCCCAAGCGUUGUUCGGAUUCACUGGGCGUAAAGGGUGCGCAGGCGGCCGAGUAUGUGAGGCGUGAAAGCCCGGGGCUUAACCCCGGAAUUGCACCUCAAACUACACGGCUAGAGCAUUGGAGAGGGUAGCAGAAUUCAUGGUGUAGCAGUGAAAUGCGUAGAUAUCAUGAGGAAUACCAGAGGCGAAGGCGGCUACCUGGACAAUUGCUGACGCUCAGGCACGAAAGCGUGGGGAGCAAAAGGG